ACUCAAAUGAAUUGACGGGGGCCCGCACAAGCAGCGGAGCAUGUGGUUUAAUUCGACGCAACGCGAAGAACCUUACCUGGGCUUGACAUGUUCUUGACCGCCCUGGAAACAGGGCUUCCCUUCGGGGCAGGAUCACAGGUGGUGCAUGGCUGUCGUCAGCUCGUGUCGUGAGAUGUUGGGUUAAGUCCCGCAACGAGCGCAACCCCCGUCGCAUGUUGCCAGCAUUUAGUUGGGGACUCAUGCGAGACUGCCGGUGACAAACCGGAGGAAGGUGGGGAUGACGUCAAGUCAUCAUGCCCCUUAUGUCCAGGGCUACACACGUGCUACAUUGGCGCAUACAGAGGGUUGCGAUACCGCGAGGUGGAGCGAAUCCCUUAAAGUGCGUCUCGGUUCGGAUUGCAGGCUGAAACUCGCCUGCAUGAAGGCGGAGUUGCUAGUAAUCCCAGAUCAGCACUGCUGGGGUGAAUACGUUCCCGGGCCUUGUACACACCGCCCGU
rnacentral:rRNA from 1 species